rnacentral:rRNA from 1 species
GGAUUCCAUGGGGGAACCCUGACGCAGCACGCCGCGUGGAGGAUGAAGUCCUUCGGGACGUAAACUCCUUUCGAUCGGGACGAUUAUGACGGUACCGGAAGAAGAAGCCCCGGCUAACUUCGUGCCAGCAGCCGCGGUAAUACGAGGGGGGCGAGCGUUGUUCGGAAUUAUUGGGCGUAAAGGGUGCGUAGGCGGUUUUGUAAGUCUUAUGUGAAAUCUAUGGGCUCAACUCAUAGACUGCAUGAGAAACUGCAGGGCUUGAGUAUGGGAGAGGUGAGUGGAAUUCCUGGUGUAGCGGUGAAAUGCGUAGAUAUCAGGAGGAACACCUGUGGCGAAAGCGGCUCACUGGACCAUAACUGACGCUGAUGCACGAAAGCUAGGGGAGCAAACAGGAUUAGAUACCCUGGUAGUCCUAGCCCUAAACGAUGACUGCUUGGUGUGACGGGUACCCAAUCCCGCCGUGCCGUAGCUAACGCGUUAAGCAGUCCGCCUGGGGAGUACGGUCGCAAGGCUGAAACUCAAAAAAAUUGACGGA